UGCCAUGCGAGGCAGAUCCAAGAAUGUGUGCCUCGGCCGAAGGGGACGGCGCCUCAUGCGUCGGCAUGCUGCAAGGUUGACUAUUGCUUGGUUUCGGGCAUCUUAUGACAAUGCAUCGCCCACACCGUGCGUUGACAACCUAUUAGCACGCUCUUGCAUGGGGUUGGGCCCCAACAGCUUUGGUUGGAUCUUCCAUCCAUGUCUCGGCCUCGCCCUCUACGGCCAUCACAGCCGCAUAAAAUUCCGUCAAUUCAUAUUCGGGCCCGCGUCAGUUCCGACUGGGGCUAUUAUAGGCUACACAACACCUCGAUGCCUC
rnacentral:lncRNA from 1 species